rnacentral:misc_RNA from 1 species
AAGUCGUAACAAGGUUUCCGUAGGUGAACCUGCGGAAGGAUCAUUACCAAUUCGACCUUGGAUUUGGAAAACGUUGAAAAACGCUUUCUGAAUUCCAUCCAACCAACCUUUGAUUGUGAACGUUGAGAUUUAUCAAGUCUUCCUGUGUUUGUUCACGGGGAGCAAUUUUAUCCAACCCCACUUCAAUCCGCACCGCGCGUGUGGAAAAAGCAAGCGUUGAGCUCCGAAACUGAAAAACACAAAAAUGUCAUGUACAACUUUUAACGGCGGAUCUCUUGGCUCGU